CCCUUCCGAUCGCACAUCAGGAAUCACGUGCGUCGAUGGAUCAUGCACGCGACCACCAUCACGAUGCCCACAGUGUUCUAACUUUUUUCUCUCUACGAUUAAGGAUCAAGCCCAUGUGGAAAGAGACCAUCCGCGGAUAAUUCGUGUUUCGGAGACUCGAAGCUAACGUCAAAGCCGGAGUCGGAUGAACUGGACAGUUCGUCAAAGCCUCCCUCGCUACAGAAUGAAUAUUCCGAUGACAUCACGGAGAUUCACUAUAACACGAAGAUAAUCACGCUUACGUGAUAAUCGAGCAACGGACGAUUUCAGCGAAAGGAAGAGUGACUUGGACUUCGAUAAAUUGACUGUUGAAGUAAGUCGAUUGUUCUUUC